GACCCAAGCUGGUCCCAUCCAGCUUGCAAGUCGUUGAUUGAAGGCACAGUGGAAGCCCCCUCCUAAGGGGAAGGUCGCCCGUUCGAAUCGGGCCGGGGUCACCA
rnacentral:tRNA from 1 species